CCUACGGGAGGCAGCAGUGAGGAAUAUUGGUCAAUGGACGCAGGUCUGAACCAGCCAAGUCGCGUGAAGGAUGACUGCCCUAUGGAUUGUAAACCUCUUUUAUCAAGGAAUAAAACGAGGCACGUGUGCCGUUUUGCGUGUACUUUAUGAAUAAGGAUCGGCUAACUCCGUGCCAGCAGCCGCGGUAAUACGGAGGAUCCGAGCGUUAUCCGGAUUUAUUGGGUUUAAAGGGAGCGUAGGUGGGUUGUUAAGUCAGUUGUGAAAGUUUGCGGCUCAACCGUAAAAUUGCAAUUGAUACUGGCAGUCUUGAGUACAGUUGAGGUAGGCGGAAUUCGUGGUGUAGCGGUGAAAUGCUUAGAUAUCACGAAGAACCCCGAUUGCGAAGGCAGCUUACUAAACUGUGACUGACAUUGAUGCUCGAAAGUGUGGGUAUCAAACAGGAUUAGAUACCCUGGUAGUC
rnacentral:rRNA from 1 species